AUUGAACGCUGGCGGCAGGCCUAACACAUGCAAGUCGAACGGCAACACAAUACAAGCUUCUGCUUCCCGGUCGCGAGUCGCGCAGGUGUGUGAUAUCCAUCAGACUCUCUUUUUUCGUGGGAGAUCUCGUGGGAACGGUUACGCUUAUACCACAACCUCGCUACUCCUGAGAGGAGGACCUCUUCGGCCCUUGCCCGCUGGUAUGCGCAGAUGUGGGAUUAGCUAGUAGGCGGGGUAACGGCCCACCUAGGCGACGAUCCGUAGCUGGUCUGAGAGGAUGAUCAGCCACACUGGAACUGAGACACGGUCCAGACUCCUACGGGAGGCAGCAGUGGGGAAUAUUGGACAAUGGGCGCAAGCCUGAUGCAGCCAUGCCGCGUGUAUGAAGAAGGCCUUCGGGUUGUAAAGUACUUUUAGCGGGGAAGAAGAGAGUAAAGUUAAUACCUUUGCUCAUUGACGUUACCCGAAGAAGAAGCACCGGCUAACUUCGUG
rnacentral:rRNA from 1 species